rnacentral:rRNA from 1 species
AUACGGAGGGUGCAAGCGUUGUUCGGAAUUACUGGGCGUAAAGCGCGUGCAGGCGGUAAGGUAAGUCAGAUGAGAAAGCCCCGGGCUCAACCCGGGAAGUGCAUUUGAUACUGCCUUUCUUGAGUAUGGGAGAGGAGAGUGGAAUUCCCAGUGUAGAGGUGAAAUUCGUAGAUAUUGGGAGGAACACCCGUGGCGAAGGCGACUCUCUGGACCAAUACUGACGCUGAGACGCGAAAGCGUGGGGAGCGAACAGGAUUAGAAACCCCAGUAGUCC